GGGUGGAUCCAGGCCCGGCUGUCCUGCUGCUGCUGCUGGAGGAGGAGGAGGAGCCGGCUUUGGCUGUGCCCCAGGGAUAGGGACCCGGGGUCCACUCUUUCCCGGGUACAGAAGCCCUGGAGCUGCUGCCUCCCGGGUAUAAAGGGUCGGGUGCCGAUCCGUCCCGGGGAGAAGGAACCGGGUGUCACUGUGCCCCCGGUGGGAAAACUGUCGCAAGAUGGGACGGGGGAAUGCGGAAGGCGAUCUUUUCCACGUCUAGGGGCCGUUGGCGUCUUCUCAACCCCCGAACAAUAACAGCCACCUCUUCACCAUCACCAUCAGCUGAUGAGACAGAGCCACUUCCGGCAGAAUCGCUUCCGGGUCACAUUCCGCACCUCUUCCCUUCUCCUCCUCCUGUCUAACCCUUUCCCGUUAACACGUUGGUCGCAGUCAGGCUCCGGUCGAUGUCGACGAGCGGCUGCUUCAUUCACAGCGUUGUGAGUGGCGGACACGGCGUGCGCCAAGAGCUCCGCACACCGGUAAACACGGCCCUCCUCAACCGGGCCAGCGGCCAAUCGGCGGAGGUCGCACGGCACCCCUCACAUGACCAACUGAAGCCGGAUCGGGCGCUGAAGGGGGCCCGGUCACGUGGUCCUGCACACCAUGUGAUACUAGUCCUGUCUUUUCCUGGGAGGGUGGGUGGCGCGGUAAAGGACUGCGUUGCCGUGGUUACCAUCAACAAGUUACACAGGGCACAGUCAUGAAGCAGCUUGCAGGAGGAUCUUUAGGCCAUUUCGAAUGGGAUUCCCCGGACGGAACCAUCUGCAGCAGAAGACACUUCAACUGAGGUGAUGCACUUUAAUGCAGAACAUGUACAACAGCCCAACAUAACUCUCCCAGUCCAAAAAUAUUACCCGCAAUUGGAAUUACUUUGGGUGACGUCCAACACCACUAUGCAAUGAGUGUUUCUUUGGCAUCGUUCAGUAACAGGCAUGGACUGUCCCACACUCAGUGACUGGACUCUGAUGAUAUGUUUUGGGAGACUGUUUAACCACGAUAGCCUCACAACCAAGCUGGAUCCUGUUCUUACCCGAGCAGCAGAAGCCACUCCAAACAAUCACUCACAUAGAAAGCUGAGUUCCUGAUUUGAGAUCAAUUGCUAAAUCUGUAUUUAUGCACUGAGCCGUUGGAUAUCCCACCCACCUGGAUGUUUCAGAGAGUGCAAAAGAUGGACUCCAGUUCAACAGGAAUCUGAUUGUCAAACCAGUCUUACAGAGCAUCAAAAAGGAACAAUAACUACAGCUUACAGGUGCUCAUACCCAUGGGGAAGACCAGAUUCUGUGGUUCCUGCUUCCUUGCUUCAACUAAGGAUCCAUCAUUAUACUGACUACAAUCACAUAAUAAUACUCUUCUCCGUGUGGUGUGACUCUGCUCUAGAGUAAAUUCCAGAUAUGCUAUAUGCUUAGCAGUCUUUUUAAACUUGUACUUCAUUUUAGUGAUUCAGAACUGGAGUGACUCGAGAGUUAUUUCCUCUGAAGUAUCCAUCUGGGACACUGACUGCAGAUUCGAACAUUUACUCACAAAAAUUAUUCUAUUUUGUAAUAUGAGAGCAAAGAGGCACAGAAGUAGGAAAGGUUACUCCAGCUCAUGUUCUGACAUAAGAUUUGAUCAGAUAGAUUCAGUUAGGAUUUCUUUUAGACUACUUUAUGGUUCAGUUAAUUGAGUACAAAACAAAAAUUGAGUAAGGUAAUAAUUUCAGGGUCCUGGUUAUUUAUUUUGUUCAAAAUUUAAAUCAAAAUGGACAAGUGUUAAAGGAAGAAUAAAUACUCUUCUGGCUUUCUUAAUUUGCUUAGCUGUACCUACCCCGGCAUUAAAAUUUCCACAUACCACAUUCUUGUUUAAAAAUUGGAAAGAGGAUUUGCAUUUAUGUAGCACAUUGUGCAAUCUCAGGAUAGCUCAGAAAAAUUUCACAGCCAAUGAAAUACUUCUGAAACACAGCCAUUGUUGAAAUACAAGAAAUGCCAAUUUUUUCAUAGCAAGCUUCACAAAUAGCAAUACUGCAGAAGUGCUGGUAUAGGGCUGGGGUGGACAAAGUCGUAAGUCACAUGAUACCAGGGUGUAGUCCAACAGGUUUAUUUGAUAUCAACCUUUUGGAGUCCUGCUCCUUCAUCAGAUGACUUCAUCUGAAGAAGCAGUGCUUUGAAAGCUUGAGAUUUCAAAUAAACCUGUUGGGCUACAACCUGGUGUCGUGCGACUUCUGACUUUAAACAGCAACAUGACAAGAACGCAAUAUAUUUUUUCAAUAGAGGGAUAAGUACCGGCCAAGUCACUGGGAACAACUUUCCGGAUGGGACACAAGAAUGAAAAAGAGCGAAGCUGUAUGCAUUUAGCAUAUAAGCAAAAACAUUAUUUUUGGAGCCUGAAAAAAAGGGGGCUUUUUUUGCUAGCUUGACUUACUGCAUUUUAUGUUAAUUGUUUCAAUUUGCUGAUAGAGGUUAUGGAAUGUUGCUAUUAAAAGCAAGUUCACACUGAUUUUGGAAUGAAACUUGUUCAAAUUUAAACACAACAGUGCCAACAGAAGACACCACACAUCAGGGUUUCACUUCUCUGACAU